AUUGGAUGAAGUCACAGAAAACCAAAAGAACAUUUUUUUCUUAUUCCUUUUUUUUUUUUAAUGUGAUAAGAAAUCUGGAGACAGAUGGUGGAGGGCAGAUACUGUGGCUCACAGUGCCAACUGGGAGCCAGCUGCUAUGUCUUCCUGUGCACUCACCCUUAGCGUGUGGAUUUUGACCUAUGCUUGCUGCCUCAUGGACACAAGAUGGCCACUCCACUUCCGCAUCACAUUUGGGCAAAAGGGAUAUGCUGACUGAUUGCUCCUUUUUUACACAGCUUUCCUGGAAGUCCUUUUCAGUGCCUUCCAUGUAAACCUUGUUGGUCAGAGCCAUCUUAUAUGCCAGGUUUGAACAGCAUGGGUACAGUUAUAUGUGGAUUUUCUUCUGGCUCUGCCAUCCGUGAAACAGCAAGACCAACCCCUCUCUUCCUCAUCCUCCUCAGCCCACCCCGCUUGAAGACAUUGACAUUGAAGAAUUUUAUGAUGAUCCACUUUCACUGGGUUGUCUCCAGUGCUCUAGUACAAAACAAGAUCAUAUGUUGGCUUUGAGGAGCUCCUGAUCUUUAUUUCUAUGAGGAUACUGCUAAUUAACAAUCUGGCAGGGGGCUUAACUCAGUUACUAGUUUAGGGAUUUCUAUCUGUGUUCUCUGAAUUUUCCAGGAGUGCAGCCUGACACAAGGCAUAGGCCCUGGCAGCAUGAAUAGUAGCUGUCUAGUAGCUAAGGCCCCUCUGCAGGAGAGAUGGGUGCUGGCUGAAACUACGGCACUAAGCCUAGCUAUAAUCUAGGGUGCAUUUAUUCCCUGAUACCUCUCCUAGCAACUAAUCUCAUGGAAGUCUCUACCUGCUUUUAACCACUCAGUUGAAAUCCAUUCAUUAAUUUCCAUUUAUUUUAUGGUGUUUAUAUAUGGAUGUACUUUUAUUAGUUUUUAAGACUAUAUAUUUUUAAGCUUAAAAAAUAUUUUUAUAUUCCCUCUAUGUGUUUGGAGCAGUUAAGGGAGUUGAAAUGCUCAGGGGAUGAAAUAAUGAGUUUAUUGUUUUUGCUUGGUUGGAUGCCGUUGCAUAUAAAAUACUCCACAUAAAUAUUUGCUAAACUAAUUGGUGCUAAGUUGCACUUAAUAUCCAACAUUAUAGUGGUAUUCUACUGAGUUAUUUUUUUCUUCUUACUUUCAGCUUUAUGUAGUAUAUCAAACAAAAAUUAAUGUCUUUAUUAGGGUAACAAAAAUUAAUUUGGGGGGAUAACCUUCAGGCAUCUUUCAGGAGAUAAGACCAUUUGAUGGCAUCUUCAGAACUGAGCUAUGCACAUUUCUUUACCAGCCUUGUUAUUUUGUUUACAUAUUUCCCUGUAGCAAAUAUAAAUAUUAGAGAUUACAUUUUAUGCUAUUACCUUGGAAAUAUCAACUUUCUACUAUUUUCAACUGUAUCAGUAGCAACUCUUGUCUCCUGAUGGUAGGCAAGGUAAAACUAUCUUUAGACUAUGUGGACAAACUCUUAUUUGAACUGAGUUUUAUUCUUUGAUCAAUCAACAGAUUGAUGUCUCUCAAUGUCAAAAGUCUCACAAAACUUCAAAGACAUAUAGCACCGAGUUUGAUCUUAAAAAUACAAAAUAAAAGGUUUUUUAAUCUUAGGAAUAAGUCCUGUUUUUUAUCUUAUAUACUAGUGAAUUAAAAAUAUUAUGAGAGCAUGCCUAUAGGCCAUCCAAAUUAAAAAAUGAAAUUGAAAUUAAUUAAAAAGUAAAAAGCUCUUUUAGGAGAAUGCUAACUCAUAAAUGUUACAAGGUAGAAAAAUAAUUUUGUAACCAUAAUAGUAAUGUAAGAAAUACCAGACAAGAAACAUCAAUGGAUAUUACACUUAGUGGGUAAACGUUUAAUGGGAAACAGGCUAUUUAGAGUGUGUCAAAAUAUUUUCUUACAAAUUAGUUAAUUACUAAGGGAAUAUAGAGUAACUUUAUGAUGGGGAAAUCUAUUAGACACCCCCUUAACCAGGUGGCGAAAAUUUAAAUCACCAAUAAAAGAACAAAUGAAUGUCAUCCCUGAUAUGAUACACUGAGAAGGACACAUUGUUUCUGUGCUAUUCUUGCUGACGUUACAUAACCUGCAACUAAUCAUGAGGAAAAAUUAAACUCAAGCUGAGUUUCAUUCUACAAACUAUUCCCUGUAUUCUGUAAAAAAUGUCAAGAUUAAGAACCACGAAGAAAGGUUGAGAAACAAGUCCAAACAAAUGAGACAAAGGUGACAUGACAAUCAAUUGCAGUGUGUGAUCCUGGACUGAAUCCUGAACCUGGAGGAAAAAUAACUAUUAAAUAAUUUGAAGACAAUUGAAAAAAACUUAGUAUGACUGUGAAUUAUAAGAUAGCAUUAUAUCAAUUUUAAUUUCCUGAUUUUAAUCAGUGUUCUGUGUUUAUAUAAGAUAAUCUUAUUGGUCUGAGGAAUACACUGGGGUGUUAAGGGGAAAAAGGUAUGAUGUCUGAAAUUUACAACAGUUUAGUAAAAAUGUAUAAGUAAGUGUGUGUGUGUGUGUGUGUAUGUGUGUGUAGAUGGAAAGGAAAUGAAUGAUAAAGUAAAUGAGGCAAUAUGUAAACAUUUGUGAAUCUGGGAAAAGGGUAUAUGGAUGCUCUCUAUAGUAAUCUCACAACUUUUCCUAUGCUUGAAAUUGUAUUAAAGCAAUAUGUUACCUCAAAAAUAUUUGCAUUAAGAUGCUAAACAUUUAUUCAAAAAAUACUGCAAAGAAAUUAAUACUUUUGCUUAAAUCAAUUUUGGGACACUAAAAAUAUUGCCUUUAAGUAUAAUUUGCCACUUCAAACACACACACAUAUACUACUAUAGGCAUAUUUCAUUUUCUCGUGCUUUGCUU
rnacentral:lncRNA from 10 species